GAUACCCUUUCCCUUCUUCCUCACAUCUCCACCGCCGCCAUUACCCAUCGUCGACGCUGAGCCCACGCAACCCUGCCGCACGUCGAUGCCACUGACGCCGACCAUCCGUAUGAGAUCUGCCAACAACGCAGCAACCAUCGUCGGCAUGGAAAGUGAUGCUAUCAACCCGUGAUGCCGCCCCAUCUUUCGAUCGCACCACCUCCUUCCUGUACCGAUCAUCGUCUGUGCAGCACCACUCUUAGUCGAAGCAAGCUGCGACCGCGACCAGUACCGUAUCACCUACCUCCUGAUCUUGACGUCGUUACCACGCUGCGAUCUCGACUUCGUUGUCGCGCUGCAUUUCUGACGCCAUUAUCAGUUCUGCCGCCACACUCUUCCACAUGCACCCUUGUCCAGGCUAUCCUAGGUCAUCAGAUCAUCGAUCCACUGUCACCGGCAACCGAGCAUCGCCCGAUGCCGUCGAUUUAAUCUCUUCACUACCUCUUUCCAUCGCCAGUAGACAUGAUGCCCUACAUCUUGGUGGGCACUCACCUUUCCUCGCGUCCUUAAUCUUCGAAAAGGGAGCAAUUCGUGAGCAUCCCUCAGCUACAUUCCAACACCACAACCAUCGUCGCCUCCUUUGUUGUAGGAGACCAUUGUAGUGCUACCCCAUGUGGUGCAGAUCCCAGCUCAUCGCUGCUUGACGCCGCUGUACACCACCACCGUGAUUUCACUAUACUAGAGAGGGUGAAGGUGUUGAUUUUGGGGCAUCUAAUUUGUUGGACAAAAGCUUUAUCUAGAGCCUUAACCACUUUCUCCGGCUGUACAUCACCUCCGGUCGUAAGCCACUAGCAGCUGCCUUCUGCUAGGUCUCUAACAAAGAGAAAGCUACAGGCACAAAAUUAGGCUUAGCUCUAACUACUAUUUUCUGGUAGCAAGCCUCUCCGACCUUGAGUUUUAACAGCUGUGCAUUCAGAUUUGGGACAUUGAUUCGAGACGAGUGUCUCGACGUGAGACUACUUGACAUGAUCUACAUACAAAGGCGGGUACCUUUGACUUAUCUCUUAUGAUAUUAUCAUUCUGAUAUAUGUAAUAGGUUAUAGCUAGUAGUAAUGGUUAUGUUUAUAUGUAUUUCACUACUUGAUAUCCAUAGUAUGCCCAUAUUGUUAUCUGUUACCUCUUGAUUAUUACCAUGUGCACCUAUGUUCAUAGAAGUAAUGACAUACAAUGCAUUAUCAGGUAUAGGCCUAGCUACUAGAUAUACGUGGCAUGUGUACCUAGAAUUAUUAUUUGGUAUGUGUACCUAGAUUUAUUAUCUGGCAUAUGUACCUAGAUUUAUUAUUUGGCAUGUGUACCUAGAUUUAUUAUUUGGCAUGUGUACCUGGUUUUAUUAUCUGGCAUGUAUACUUAGAUUUAUUACCUACCAUGUAUACUUAGAUCCUUGUUACGUACUCAGUUUUCCUUUUGGUACAUAUUAUAUGGAGGUUGAUAUUUUCAAGAGUUACAUGUUUUAGUGUCAUGCACCAUUUUGCAUGAUUUCAUGCUGAUCGAUUAUCGACUCCUUUAUAGUUGAGCAUAUCGCUAGUUACAUGAUCUGCACACAUAACCACUCAUGAGUUAGUGGUACAUCAGGUAGGGUGUAUGUAGUUUGCUCUGUCAAGGUUCCACUGGUCCGCUCAUGGGUAGUGUGACUGCAGCAUGGUAGCGGGCAAGGAUUCCUGCUCUUGACAUGACACAGGGAGAUGAGAGCUUAGGCUCCCCCACUAUAUUUGGGGUAGGAGAAUAGGUAUACUCUGAUAGCAUCCUGUCCACUCGGUCACUUAGGAGUAGUGAUGGCAGAGUGCACAGUUAUCAUUGCCCUACCCACUCGACCUCAUCAUUGCGUGUGAGGUGGUUGACUGGCAUCAGGGGUGACCAUGUCAUUUUCAUCAUAUGCAUGGAUUGCAUUUAUUGCUUGUGAUUACUGCAUUUUGGUGGUUGCAUAUGAUUGACAUGCAUAUAGGAGACAUGAGAUAUUUGAUAUGACAACCCUUAUAUACGAUAGGAGGUCCCGGUGAGUACAGCUUCUUCUGUUGUUCAGUUUUGCAUUUCCUGUUAUUAUUCAAAAGACUGUACCGCAUGAUUAUUGUUGGUAGCUGUAUCUUACUAUGCAUAUCUGCUCGAUACCCGCUGAGUUCUUGAACUCACUCCGUUAAUUAGUUU